rnacentral:rRNA from 1 species
CACGUAGGGUGCGAGCGUUGUCCGGAAUUAUUGGGCGUAAAGAGCUCGUAGGCGGUGUGUCGCGUCGGCCGUGAAAACCUGCAGCUUAACUGUGGGCGUGCGGUCGAUACGGGCAUCACUGGAGUUCGGCAGGGGAGACUGGAAUUCCUGGUGUAGCGGUGAAAUGCGCAGAUAUCAGGAAGAACACCAAUGGCGAAGGCAGCUCUCUGGGACGGUACUGACGCUGAGACGCGAAAGCGUGGGGAGCGAACAGG